rnacentral:rRNA from 1 species
ACCCUACGGGGCGCAGCAGUGGGGGAUAUUGCACAAUGGGGGAAACCCUGAUGCAGCGACGCCGCGUGGGCGAAGAAGUAUUUCGGUAUGUAAAGCCCUAUCAGCAGGGAAGAAGAAAUGACGGUACCUGAGUAAGAAGCACCGGCUAAAUACGUGCCAGCAGCCGCGGUAAUACGUAGGGGGCAAGCGUUAUCCGGAUUUACUGGGUGUAAAGGGAGCGUAGACGGCAGCGCAAGUCUGGAGUGAAAUGCCGGGGCCCAACCCCGGAACUGCUUUGGAAACUG